GCCCGAUGGCGGCCGCAUUAGAAGUUCAGAUAAAUAAUUCGUAAAUAUCUCAAGAAGGUUUAAUUCUUAUUUUCUUUUUAUUUAACAAGAUUUACAAUUGUGUUUUUCCGAUGCAGUAGAAAACAAUAAAUUCAGCUUUUUUCAGAACUUUCAUGGCAUAAAGCGUUCCACUAUCUUUACCAACAACUUUCCUCACUAAGAAUACCUGAAUAAGGAUCCUUGACCAAGAACUUUGAGCAGUUCAAACUGAGAUGGACCUGCCUUUUCAUGACCAUCCCGAACCACUUCGCGUAGUUCAAUUUCAUGUGACUCAGAACAUUCAUUUGAACGCGAUUCAAUCACAUUUCCUUGAGUCAUCGCUUCCUCUUGAGCUUCUGCUGGAAGAAUAUCUACAGAUUGCUGAGAAAACAAACUGAUUAUAAUGCCUAUGGAAACAUUACCUUCUCGUUUACAUGUUGCUCUGACCAUGGAACUGUUAGAGUCGCCAACGGCAUUAUAUUCGAUGUGGUAUUAGUAAAAUUAAGCGUAGCGCAGAUCACCCUCGAAUUGUGAAGUAUUAGAGAAGUUUACGGUAAAUUGAUAGAUGCAUGUAUGGCAUACACUCUACAAAUAUCGACCACAGAUAAAGCGUUAAGCCAAAGGCAUUCAAACCAGAUUUCUGACAUUAACCGGAAGCACCUGCUUUGUGAUUUUAAAUAAAGCCAAGCAAAAUGGCUGCUUUUCAAUAAACUGUGCAAAAAACUUGUAAAAUGACGAGGAAGCACGUAUAUUUUCAACAAAAUAUAUACACUAAAUAUACCUCUAUCGUAUAAAAAUGCUCGAAAUAAACUACAAGCGAGUAUUAGAUUACAUUAAAUGUAGCUUACUUAGGUGUUAAGUAUAGAUAAUCACCUUCACAGGUACGGUAUCGAUUUGUCAAUAAACAAACAAAAAAAUUUAAGUGCUAAUACGUUAUCGAUAUGAUAUACUUACUUAUGUUGUAUUUAUUUGAAAUUUUGUUCAAGCAAAACAAUUGUCGUUUCCUUUUAUCAACAAA